AGUUCAGAUUGCAGGCUGCAACUCGCCUGCAUGAAGUCGGAAUUGCUAGUAAUCGCAGAUCAGCAUGCUGCGGUGAAUACGUUCCCGGGCCUUGUACACACCGCCCGUCACACCAUGAGAGCCGGGAACACCCGAAGUCCGUAGUCUAACCGCAAGGAGGGCGCGGCCGAAGGUGGGUUUGGUAAUUGGGGUGAAGUCGUAACAAGGUACC
rnacentral:rRNA from 1 species